AGUGAACGCUGGCGGUAGGCCUAACACAUGCAAGUCGAACGGCAGCACAGUAAGAGCUUGCUCUUACGGGUGGCGAGUGGCGGACGGGUGAGGAAUACAUCGGAAUCUACUUUUUCGUGGGGGAUAACGUAGGGAAACUUACGCUAAUACCGCAUACGACCUACGGGUGAAAGCAGGGGAUCUUCGGACCUUGCGCGAUUGAAUGAGCCGAUGUCGGAUUAGCUAGUUGGCGGGGUAAAGGCCCACCAAGGCGACGAUCCGUAGCUGGUCUGAGAGGAUGAUCAGCCACACUGGAACUGAGACACGGUCCAGACUCCUACGGGAGGCAGCAGUGGGGAAUAUUGGACAAAGGGCGCAAGCCUGAUCCAGCCAUACCGCGUGGGUGAAGAAGGCCUUCGGGUUGUAAAGCCCUUUUGUUGUGAAAGAAAAGCAGCAGGUUAAUACCCCGCUGUUCUGACGGUACCCAAAGAAUAAGCACCGGCUAACUUCGUG
rnacentral:rRNA from 1 species